AAAAAAAAAUAUAUAUAUAUAUAUAUAUAUAGAGAGAGAGAGAGAGAGAGAGAGAAAGAGAGAAAGAGUUGAGUUAGAAUACUCUCAAAAAGCACCGAGGAGUGGUGUUGUUGAGUUUUUAACCAUUUAAUAGAGAGACGUAGGAUUAAGAUGAUGGUGAUAGGUGGUGGAAGGUGGAAUAGUGUUUUGUCAAAACACUAUAUAAAAAAUUAUAUAGAGUCUGGUUACUAUACUCUUAUGAGUACGAUCGCCCUCGUACUCAUAAGUUGUUUUCGAUGAUAGACUAGUUUCCGAAUCGACGAUCCAUAUCAUUAAACAUUAUCUAGAUUAUUUGAAACAUCUAGAAAUUAAAGUUCAUAAUUUUUCGACAUCAUUUGCCUUACGAUGAAAAGCACACAAAAUUAACAAUUUUUAACGGCCGGUAUGAAAUACUUGCUGGUUUAACGGUAUAAAAGAAUUUGGAAUAUGUUGAAUUUUUGAUAGAAAAUUCUAUUCACUACCUAGAUAAAGAUCAAUAGCUCCAAUCUUAAAUUGAAGGAUCCGAUCAUCUAUUUUUAGGACGUCGUUCGAUUUUGACUGUUUAUUUUAUGCCCAUUUGAUGGACUUUAUUAUGAUUUCGAAAAAUUACGAAAUUUAUUUUUUAGAAGUUUUAAAUACUGUAAAUCAUACUUAAUUGAGUGAAUCGUCGAUUCAGAAACCUCAUUAUCAAAAAUAACUUAUGAGUACGAAUGGUCCAAUACUCGUAAGAAUAUAGUAGCCCUACUCUAUUUGUGUGUGUGUGUAAAAAUGUCAAAGCAAUUUCAAAAGCUUUUUUUGAGAAUAGGUAGCACGCCACCUGCUUCAUUCAUUGAAAGAGUGAAUUAGGCUACAGGAGUGAGACAAUCAAGGCCUCGAAAA
rnacentral:lncRNA from 1 species